CGGUUAAGUAUUAUGUUGAUGGCGUGAAACUUGAAAGUCAGUUUGCUUGGUCCUCUUUCUUGAUUCUUUAAAAAUCAAUAUUUUGAUAUACAUAAUACUUAGUGAAAAUUGUAGAGGCUAAUAAGUGUACUAUUUAUUCUCUACACUUUAUCGCGUCGAUAACUUAUAAGGCUGUUGCACUGAUUAUUGAAGAUCCUGCCGCUGAGCUCCGGAAUCCACUUGCACCACAAUGCUUUAGCCAUGCAUUGGAAAAAAAUCAUUUAGUGCGUAAAUGAUCGUUGGUCUAAGUACACUGACAUUCUUCAUCUCUUGAGCGUUGGAAUCUCAAAGGACGGACUGCACCAGAGGAUAACUUGUAAUAAGGAUCAUCCACCUGAGAUGCUACACAGUCUGAUUAAAUCUUGGCAUAGUGACAGUUGACUGUGUAUCUUGCAAGAGUUGUUCCUUCAUCUGAGCAAACUUGAUCUUUUUGUACUCGUGUUGGUACUUGUUAGAAUCUUUAAAUCAGACACAACCUGUGGGCAAAGGAAUGCUUCAGAACAGUCAGUCUCCUUUUAUCAAAAUGUUUCAGUACAAUUGACUUACAAAAGAUGUUCUAAUCACGUAUUCAGAAAAUCCUGUUAGGGUGUACUUUGUCAGUUCUGUUGCCAAGGUUAGAGUUAAAAUUAACACACAUACUGUAGUAGGGUCCUUUUUUAGUUUUCAACUUGUACUGUUGGUUGCUAAAUUUAAAGACCUAAUUUGUUUUAGCCAAUU